rnacentral:rRNA from 1 species
UACAGAGGUCUCAAGCGUUGUUCGGAUUCAUUGGGCGUAAAGGGUGCGUAGGCGGCGCGGUAAGUCGGGUGUGAAAUUUCGGAGCUUAACUCCGAAACUGCAUUCGAUACUGCCGUGCUUGAGGACUGGAGAGGAGACUGGAAUUUACGGUGUAGCAGUGAAAUGCGUAGAGAUCGUAAGGAAGACCAGUGGCGAAGGCGAAUCUCUGGACAGUUACUGACACUGAGGCACGAAGGCCAGGGGAGCAAACGGG